AACUUCCAUGUUGAGAGUUCGACUUCCUUUUUAACACUUUGUCAAUCUUGUUUUCCUGUUCAUAUAAAACAAAUAAUCAUGGUGAAUGACAGGUUUUUCAUGUAGUAAUGUAAGUUUCCAUGGUUUUUUCAGGGUUCAUUGCGUGAGCCGGAGGAGCUGAUGAGCAACUCGUCCCUUAUGGUGGUCAAAAACACAAGUAUUUUGCUUGGUAGUGGAGGAUCAGAUCUUACUGUAUAAUUUCUUUACUUUUUUGUGGUAGGUGUUCUCAAAUUUUAACCAAGACAUUUUCUGUUCCUUUGCAAUGCCAGGCAACACCCUUCUGUUAAUUGUUCAUACUUUGAAUCAUACUAUUUAUUACUGCUACUUGUUACUGCUGAAGGAAAACCCAUUAUUAUGACUGUUUGAAAAAUUGAUGGUUAUGCUUGAUAGUUGAUAAUGAGUCUAGUACUUUAGAUUGAGGUCAUGUACUUCUGUUCUUACUUCGCAGCUUGUUUCACUCAACUGCUGCCUGCUGGCAGAGGUCAAAUGAGAUGCUGGUUUUAGCCUAUGAUCACAUUACUUGUCUUGAGGUUUAAAUAUAUUAUCUGUUUCUUAUAUUGGUAAAUUGAAUGAAAUUUCUUGAUCAUGAUUUCUUGACUCACUGUUCUGAGGUUUGUUCAUGUCAACUGACGCAACCAAUAUAAACUUGUCUUGAUGUGACAGAGGCGACAUUCCUUCAUAUGCCAAAUGAAAAAAUCUACUAAAGUGUCUUACAAAGCCAUCAUGUUGCAAUAGUUGUCUAUGUAGCGUGGAAGUGGAUGAACUUAUCCGGAACUGUUUUUUUAUUUUCUUGAUUGAACUUGAAAGAUCAGGUGAGCACUCUGUUUAUAAUUGUCCUCAUAAUUGUGCAAGCCUGAGGACAUUCUUCAAGUUUUCGACCUCAUUUUAAAAUAGUUAUAUUGAUUGGCUAUUGCAAUAUAUUCUGCUUAUCUUUGCUGAGAUUUGUGAACUUAGUUCAACUAUUUUGGCUUCCCUACAUGUUGUUUCUUGUUUAAUCAGCUAGGAAGUAGCAGUUGUAUGAGUUGACAUGCAUAUAGUGUUUUAUGCUGUUACAGAUUCAAUUAUUUGAGGACAAGUUAGAUUGAAAGGCACAUGACAACCAAUUUGAGCAUGAAGACUUGUGGCUUCAAAGGGUAUCCACUGUUCUCCUUCACUGUGGUAUGAUCCUAUCUAUAAUCCUUAUCCAGGUCUUCUACCUCAUUUACAUUGAAGAUAAAAGCAAUGUGUUCACUGGAGAGUAAAAUUCUUCUUUUCUGUGACAAUGAAAGCAAAAUGAAAGGGCCUCACUUAGACUUAGCCAUGCAUGUGAUCAAGGAAGGGACCAGCAAAGCAAUGCACUGGUGAUUGCAAACUUGGACAUUGUCUUUUCCUCACUUUUUAACAGCAUUCCAUUUGCAGACAUGCCAAGAUACCAUACAUAUAUAUAUAGCUUUUCCUAUCAUCAAAACAAGAGCUUUGACUGUAUUUGAUCCAUGGUGAGACCGGUUCAUUAUCUAAUGCUCUAUUGCAAUCUUUAGAUGCAUUAUCUAUGUUGAUUCUCAUCUUGAAUUAUGCAUAAACUGGACCCGUGUGUUUUGUCUUUCAAGCAUGGUGUCUUCUUUGUCACCUCAAAUUCCAAUCUGAACUGGAGGUUCAGAUUUGCAGUUAAGAGAGUUUUAGGUGUACUUAUGUCUCUGGUCAUGCUUGGCCUGAGAUGCAGCAAAUAUGUACUUGUUUAUUCUAGGUUGGGGACCCUUCUUCCAAUCUAUUGGAUCACAACCAUUGCACUA